rnacentral:lncRNA from 1 species
AUUGGUAUACUUAAGAUAUCAUUAGUUUUUAGAUAGCAUUAUUAUGGAGGCUCAUUUUAAAAGUUGAUAUCAGAUAAGGAGGAAAAUAUUACUACAGUAUCAUUUAGUCAUUUAUCUUACCGUCCAUGCUUGCCUUAAGUUUUACUUUACAAGCUAAGCAUUAGAUUUAACCUAAGAAAGCAUUUUUAUUAUGAAGUAAAAAUUAAAUUAAACCCAUUAAGAUAGUUAGUUUGCAAAAUGCUGGCAUGAUGAUAAUGUACAAUUUUGGAACUCACUAAUUGUUUACUUGAGAUCGUUAAUUUCUUGGUGGAAGCUUGGUUCAUACUAGAUGGAUUAUGGAUAGUCUAUGUAUGUUGCGUAUGGAACGAUUGAGUACUUACUGAAGGAUAAUUGGUAUUGAAUUUGAAAUUUUGAAGGUGAAAAAACAGUUUUGAAGGCCAAAUUUAUUUAGGCAUUGAGCUAGUGCUCCAAUUGGACUAGGGUAAAUGCCAAAACGAAAAUAAAUUAGGAUUUUCUCUAUUUUUUCAUUUAUUAGUGUGCUAUACUCUAGAUCGUAUAUGGGUUGAUUAACGUUACCGAGUACGUGUCUGGAAAUUUAGCUGUAAUGAAUACAGAAAGCGUGGAGGAUCUGAAUUUGUUUUAGAUGUUUCCCUUGUAUUUUGUUUAGGCAGUUGGAUAAAAAAGGACUAAUCAAAUGGAAACAUAUGUAAUUUUUAUGAUCCCCGUGAUUUUGGAAAUCAAGCAAUAUUAAAUAUGGUGGGAGAUUGAAAAUGAGUUGUGGUAUGUAUUGUUUUUCUUUCCAACCCUUAUUCUCUGGACUUAGUUGAAUCAGCGGAAUCACACUUAUGCUACUCAUUUUUCCAGGUCAUUUCAACUAUUGAACAGGUAAGCCAUGGCUUAAGGUUAUAUACGAUGCAUGGUUGUGCCAGCAGCAAAUUAUGAAUUUUCUAAUUCCCAUGAUUUUUAGAUUUGAAAAAAUUAAUAUAGAGAAAAUCUGAUCCUUCUUUGUGAUGCUGUUCCCAUCGCUUUUCCUCUUUUUCAGGGUAGCUUGGUAUGUUUCAUUGUUAAUAUACGAUUUGGUAAGUCAGUGUAUGAAAAAAAGUUGAUUGUAAAGGAUAAGUUUAUCUUUUUUGGACAUUUAUCUUUUUUAUUAGGUCUGAAGGUGUAUCUAAACGAGGGCUUUACAUGAGCUAGUGUUAACCAAUGUUCUGCCAAGUAACACGUUUUAGAAUUAUCUAUCAUUUUUUUCUUUAUUUCAUUAUUCCCUUAUUUAUUUUACUCCAAUGUUGUGUUGAAUUAUUUUGCUUUUUAUUAAUAAAAAAGUUGAGAUUUCGAAAAAUAUUUACAACCAUG